rnacentral:rRNA from 3 species
CCUACGGGAGGCAGCAGUAGGGAAUCUUCCGCAAUGGACGAAAGUCUGACGGAGCAACGCCGCGUGAGUGAUGAAGGCUUUCGGGUCGUAAAACUCUGUUGUUAGGGAAGAACAAGUACGAGAGUAACUGCUCGUACCUUGACGGUACCUAACCAGAAAGCCACGGCUAACUACGUGCCAGCAGCCGCGGUAAU